rnacentral:rRNA from 1 species
UGGGGAAUCUUGCACAAUGGGCGAAAGCCUGAUGCAGCAACGCCGCGUGCGGGAAGACAGCCCUAGGGUUGUAAACCGCUUUCAGCAGGGAAGAAACUGACGGUACCUGCAGAAGAAGAUGCGGCCAACUACGUGCCAGCAGCCGCGGUGACACGUAGGCAUCAAGCGUUAUCCGGAUUUAUUGGGCGUAAAGAGCUCGUAGGCGGUUCGGUAAGUCGGGUGUGAAAACUCUGGGCUCAACCCAGAGAGGCCACUCGAUACUGCUGUGACUAGAGUGCGGUAGGGGAGCGGGGAAUUCCUGGUGUAGCGGUGAAAUGCGCAGAUAUCAGGAGGAACACCAGUGGCGAAGGCGCCGCUCUGGGCCGUAACUGACGCUGAGGAGCGAAAGCAUGGGUAGCAAACAGGAUUAGAUACCCUGGUAGUCCAUGCCGUAAACGUUGGGCACUAGGUGUGGGUCUCAACCAACGAGAUCCGCGCCGUCGCUAACGCA